GCCCGGUUAGUUCAGACGGUAGAAAGCAGGACUUUUAAUCCUGAGGUCGAGGGAUCAAGUCCUUAAUCGGGCG
rfam:Daphnia pulex DAPPTscaffold_345_Cont8915, whole genome shotgun sequence.